rnacentral:rRNA from 1 species
AAUCGCGAUAUGUAAUGUGAUUUGCAGAUCUACAGUGAAUCAUCGAAUCUUUGAACGCACCUUGCGCUCCUCGGUGUUCCGAGGAGCAUGCCUGUUUGAGUGUCAGUAAAUUCUCAACCCCCCCUCGAUUUGCUUCGAGCGGGUGCUUGGAUGUUGGAGGCUGCCGGAGACACUGGAUUCGUCCAGGACUCGGGCUCCUCUUAAAUGAAUCGGCUAGCGGUCGACUUCCGACUUUGCAUGACAAGGCCUUUGGCGUGAUAAUGAUCGCCGUUCGCCGAAGUGCACGACAGAAUGGUCCCGUGCCUCUAAUGCGUCGACGCCUCUCCGGGGGCGUCUUCCUCAUUGACGUUUGACCUCAAAUCAGGUAGGACUACCCGCUGAACUUAAGCAUAUCAAUAAGCGGAGGAAAAGAAACUAACAAGGAUUCCCCUAGUAACUGCGAGUGAACCGGGAAAAGCUCAAAUUUUGAAUCUGGCGGUCUUCAGGCCGUCCGAGUUGUAAUCUUGAGAAGCGUUUUCCGCGC